CACGAAGAACGCUCCUUUCGGGAAGCUAGUACAGUGGCGGACGGGUGCGUAACGCGUAAACAACCUGCCUUCAAGCGGAGGAUAACCACGGGAAACUGUGGCUAAUACUGCAUAACGUCCAGAGGCCGCAUGGCCCCUGGAUCAAAGCCUUCGGGCGCUUGAAGAUGGGUUUGCGUCGGAUUAGCUCGUUGGUGAGGUAACGGCUCACCAAGGCAACGAUCCGUAGCUGGUCUGAGAGGAUGAUCAGUCACACUGGCACUGAGACACGGGCCAGACUCCUACGGGAGGCAGCAGUGGGGAAUCUUAGGCAAUGGGGGAAACCCUGACCUAGCCAUGCCGCGUGGAGGAAGACACCCCUAUGGGGCGUAAACUCCUUUUCUGUCGGAAGAAAACCCUGUUUUUCAGGGCGUGACGGUACGACAGGAAUAAGCACCGGCUAACUCCGUGCCAGCAGCCGCGGUAAUACGGAGGGUGCAAGCGUUGUCCGGAAUCACUGGGCGUAAAGGGUGCGCAGGCGGGGCAGCAAGUCGGAGGUGAAAGCCCACGGCUUAACCGUGGAAGUGCCUUCGAAACUGCUGCUCUUGAGUCCCAGAGAGGUCGCCGGAAUUCGUGGUGUAGCGGUGAAAUGCGUAGAUAUCACGAGGAACACCAGAGGCGUAAGCGGGCGACUGGAUGGGUACUGACGCUGAGGCACGAGAGCGUGGGGGAGCAACAGGAUUAGAUACCCUGGUAGUCCACGCCGUAAACGAUGGAUGCUCGCCGUUGUC
rnacentral:rRNA from 1 species